rnacentral:rRNA from 1 species
GACGAACGCUGGCGGCGUGCUUAACACAUGCAAGUCGAACGGUGAAGCGCCUUCCUUUUUGGUGGGUGUGGAUGAGUGGCGAACGGGUGAGUAACACGUGAGUAACCUGCCCCCUUCUUCUGGAUAACCGCAUGAAAGUGUGGCUAAUACGGGAUAUUCUGGGUCUGUCGCAUGAUGGGUCUGGGAAAGAUAUUGUUUCGGUGGGGGAUGGGCUCGCGGCCUAUCAGCUUGUUGGUGGGGUGAUGGCCUACCAAGGCGGUGACGGGUAGCCGGCCUGAGAGGGUGGACGGUCACACUGGGACGGAGACACGGCCCAGACUCCUACGGGAGGCAGCAGUGGAGAAUAUCGCACAGUGGGCGCAAGCAUGAUGCAGCGACGCCGCGGGAGGGAUGGAGGCCUUCGGGUUGUGAACCUCUUUCGCCAGUGAAGCAGGCCUGCCUCGUUUGUGGGUGGGUUGACGGUAGCUGGAUAAGAAGCGCCGGCUAACUACGUG